CUCUCUCUGUUUUCUCUAAACACCAAAGGCUGGUGUUUUCACCUGAUCUGUUUUUGCUUCAAACCCAUAAUUGUCUGUAUCUCAUUACAUUCCUGUAGGUGACCUUUCUUCCUCUGUCUCCUCUUUCUAGGGCUGGCUGGUGACAAUUUCUUAGGUAAAUGCUGUGGAAUGAUAACUUGCAACUAGGCUCCUUUUUUGUGACCCACCACUGAUUUCUCAGCUGCCUGAGAGGCAGGACAAACUGGUGUUCUGUCUGAUGUUGGGAUCAUCCACAGCAGGUUCUCUUGCCAUCAGCAUGGAUCCCCUGGUGCUGGUUCACAGGAAUAGGAAGCUGAUGCCUUGGUAUUCCUGGCCUCCUGCUCACCCAGAGAGAACUUGGGUCAUUGCUGUGGUCUCCAGUGAGGUGCUGAAAGUUUCAGGCUGGAGGUUUUCCUGUGCUCUCCAUAGCUGCUGCCUAGUGCUGCCCUGA
rnacentral:lncRNA from 1 species